CCUACGGGAGGCAGCAGUGGGGAAUAUUGCACAAUGGGCGAAAGCCUGAUGCAGCAACGCCGCGUGAGCGAUGAAGGCCUUCGGGUCGUAAAGCUCUGUCCUCAAGGAAGAUAAUGACGGUACUUGAGGAGGAAGCCCCGGCUAACUACGUGCCAGCAGCCGCGGUAAUACGUAGGGGGCUAGCGUUAUCCGGAAUUACUGGGCGUAAAGGGGGCGUAGGUGGUUUCUUAAGUCAGAGGUGAAAGGCGACGGCUCAACCGUAGUAAGCCUUUGAAACUGGGGAACUUGAGUGCAGUAGAGGAGAGUGGAAUUCCUAGUGUAGCGGUGAAAGGCGUAGAUAUUAGGAGGAACACCAGUUGCGAAGGCGGCUCUCUGGACUGUAACUGACACUGAAGCACGAAAGCGUGGGUAUCGAACAGGAGUAGAUACCCUAGUAGUC
rnacentral:rRNA from 1 species